rnacentral:rRNA from 1 species
AGCGAAUGGAUUGGAGCUUGCUCCUAUGAGAUUAGCGGCGGACGGGUGAGUAACACGUGGGUAACCUGCCUAUAAGACUGGGAUAACUCCGGGAAACCGGGGCUAAUACCGGAUAACAUUUUGAACCGCAUGGUUCGAAAUUGAAAGGUGGCUUCGGCGGUCAUUUAUGGAUGGACCCGCGUCGCAUUAGCUAGUUGGAGAGGUACCGGCUCACCAAGGCAACAAUGCGAAGCCAACCUGAAAGGGUGAUCGGCCACACUGAGACUGAAACCCGGCCCAAACUCCUACGGAAGGCAGCAUUAUGGAAUCUUCCCCAAUGGACGAAAGUCUGACGGAGCAACGCCGCGGGAGUGAUGAAGGCUUUCGUGUCGUAAAACUCUGUAGUUAGGGAAAAACAAGUGC